UGUAAAGUGGUUUGUAAGUCGCUCUGGAUAUGAGCGUCUGCUAAAUGACGUGUA
rfam:Salmo salar isolate Sally breed double haploid chromosome ssa15, whole genome shotgun sequence.